rnacentral:rRNA from 1 species
UGUGACCGUUAGCGCAUAGUACAGUAAUGGAAGUGCAUAAACCAAAUUAAAGGCUUAAAUUAAAAAUAAAAUGGCUGGUGCAAUGGCACAAAAAAUA